UCAAGCGUUUUGAUCAAAUCUUUAAAACACACAAAAGUUUAAUUUAAAAAAUGUAGAAAAAAAGUGGGGCAUUCUAAUUUCCCCAUCCGUUGCUCUCCUCGAAUCUCGAAUCCUCCGAUCCAACUUUUGAACAACCCUCUCUUUUUGCUUUCUUUGCAAUCGUAAUUUUGCUUUUAACAGUUUCGAUUGUUGCAGGUAUAAACCCAGAUGGGCAAGUCCUCUUCUUCUCAUACCAAGAAACGCUCCAAGGUUUCCUCCGAGGCUCGAACAAGAAAGAAGAGUAAGAGUAAAAGUAGGAAAUAUAGAUACAAGAAGCUUCGCCGUCGUGACGAUUCUUCUUCGUAUUCUGGUGAGGAUGAUUCAAGAAGUUUGGAAUCGAAUUCCUCUUUUAGUUCAGAGGAUGAUUCGAGAAGUAGAAGGGCUCGAUCGCGCACUCGGAAGGUUGCAAAAGGGAGCAAGAAGAGGGCUCGGAGACGCUCUUAUAGCCGUGACAGUAGCGAGGACUCUGCCCGUAGAAAGAAGAGGAAAUCGGCGAAGAAGAAGAAUGAUAAGAAAACUCAUUUGAGGAAGAGGCCUUGGAGGAAUGCUAGUGUUAGUUCCAGGAGUAGUGCGUCGUUUAGCUGCUCAACUUGUCCUAGUGGGGGAAUUAGUGGCGAUGACAUUGAAUCUAAGAGGCAUAGGGGCAGACCGGAAAAACGAAACAGAGAUGAAAGUGAUAUUAACAUGGUUGAUAGGGGGACUAAGAGGGCUAGAUAUAGGUCAUGGAGCUGUUCUUCGCGCAGUCAGCAUAGCGAGAGUGGUGAUUGUCGGAGUGAGGAAAAAGUGACAUAUGAGAACAAUACGAGGAGGUUGAGAUCCGUAGUUACUGUGACAGAAGAAGACAAGCACGGCAGGUGGAUGGAUACGGAUGGGCACAAAGAAGAGAUUACAUACGAUGAUGAUUACCCUUCUUGUAGAAGUAAUGACAGUAAUGACGGAGGAUGCAAGAGGGAGUUGAAUAAUUGUUUAGAUGUUGCAUUUGAGAAGAGAACGGAAGUAGAGAGUGGGAAAGAGGAAGAAGCUUAUGUUUCUAAUGUUCCAAUCAUGGAUCUCAAAGAUAUUCGUAGCAUUUUGGAAAAAGAUUGCGCGGGCCAAGGUGAUGGAAUUGGGAUUACUGGUCCUGUUAAUGAAAAUAAGAAUGAGGUUUCUGGGACAAUCAGUAGUCUGCCAGGUGAGGAUCUGGAAUCAAUUUUAAGACAAAAGGCUUUGGAAAAUCUAAAAAGAUUUAAAGGAAAGCAUCAAAGAAUUUCAGCUGUAACUACCAAUCAGGAAGACAAGACCGCUAUUGAUUUGAAACAGCCGUCCACUGCAAAGGUUGAAUUGGUUCAAAUAGAAUCCCCCGGGGAGAGUGGUGCUAGAGUGGUUGUAGCAAAGUCAUCCGAGGAGGAUGUUGCUGAAAGGGUUGAUGCAAUCCAAUCAGUAGAAGAGGCCAAUGGGCCUCAAGAGAGAGUUUCCAUGCUUUCUUCCCAAAACCUUGAAAAGGAACCAGAUGGCAAUGAAAUCUCUGCCAAGCAAGAUGUUGCUUGUCCAAUAGAGCAAGUGGUUGUCGGUAUAAAGGUUAAGACCACUGCUGCCCUUAAUAAACCAAACACGACUUCACCAACAUUGAGGGGUCAUUCGCUAAAAGCUCACCCCACGCUGAAACAAGAACCUGCUUUACAGGAACCUCCUGAGGAAAGAUUGUUGGUGAGUGAGAGUUGUGUAGAUAAGGGUGCUUCUGGGACUGCCCAAACUGUUCCUCAAAGAAGCAAUAGCAACGGUGAAGAUAUUGAUGAGGGUCAUGAUUCUACUGCUCCCGAACCUUUAGGAGAAAAUAGUUCUGAUAAACAGCAAGAUGAAGCUACAGUUGGCUCACAGUUUGAGCAGAAAACAAUGUCGGUGAUGCGAGGUAGUGAAAUGGUACAGGUGAGUUAUAAGGUUUACAUCCCUAAGAAAGCUCCUGCUCUGGCGAGGAGGCAACUCAAGCGGUGAUAUCUCAUCCAUCGUUCUGGUGCGCACAGUUUGCUCUUGAUUAAAGCUUUGCAUAAAGGGGUGGUAUUUUCUUGGCCUUUCAAAGCAGCCAUUUUCCUCCCAGAACAAUCUUGAAAUUCGCGGUUUAGCAGUCGUUUUAGGUGAUAAAAGUCUCUACAAGGAAAGAAGCUGCCCAAAAACCCCGAAGAAGCUGCACAUAAGUUGUCAUGGAUGAUUGCUACUUUUUCCCGAAGGGCUUUCGCAAUUGUUUGAGUCAGUCCUAUAGGACUAUAGGAGGACACAGAAGUUGAUGCGGGAGGCAGACCUUGAAGAAAACAAUUUGAAGACCACUAGUAUGCAUUGGAAUAAUAAGGCUGUGUAUUUUAAUGACAUAGGAACUUGUUAGGUCAUUUUUAGAGAGUUUUUUAGGAAGUUGUAGUGUAUUUAUGUUCCUUUAUCUUGAGUUCCCUUAAAUAUUGAUGUAUCAAAAGGUUUUGGGAUGAGACUUGAAUGAAUUAAAAUUUUAUUUACCUUGUGCAUUUGAAGAGAA